GUCCUUUCAGCAAAAGGCCCCCCACCCCUGCAAAAUCUUUAGCCCACCCUUCCCGUUGAAGAAAAAAAAAAGUAUCAUACAAGCAUGCAACGUGUGCGUGCGUGUGACGUCAGCAGCACGAUGUCUAAGGUCCCUUGAGUGCGCAGAGUAACCAAGACCAUUUAUAUUCCUCGUUUAGAAACCCACAGUAUAAACUUCCCGAGAGAUGAAGUCUCUUUGGUUCUUGAAGAUGUACCAUUGACUACGGAAUCACUGUAUUUUUGCCAUCUUCCCUGGAUGUAUUAAACAUGAAAACCAACGGCUUUCCAACAGUACCGAUAAGAUCCAGUUGUUUCCGGUGUGAUCUUACGAUGCGGCUUACUCAGGGAGCCAGCUUGGAGUAAGACGCUUGCCUUACCAAAAUAUCCAACAAAAUGUCGGCAGUUGUAGUAAACCAUGAGAAGAUAAUAUACGGAAGUCAGAAGUUUCCAGCUAUCAAUCUUAGCUAGUUCCGACAUUGAACAAGAAGAAUCAUGAGUCGUCAGCGUGAAGUGCCAUUUAAGCUAAGUCUGAAACGGUUUUUAAUUAUUUUUAUGUUGAACAGUACAGGAUGAUUAUUAUUUUUAAUAAAAUCAAGCAUAGUAUUUGUUUGAAGUUUCGUUGGCGAAACAACGCUCUAUUUGACCGUAGAUUUUAGCAUGCUCCUUCUAGUAAGCUGGAGGUCGGAUCACGCCUUGUUUAUGUAUGCACAUAGCCUAUGUAGGUCAGUUGUAGGUAGGUAUGCAUAGCCCGAACUACACCCUGCCCUUUGUAGGGUAUGGAGGUCUGUCCGCAAUAAAAAUUUCUUUAAGAAAUACCAUUAUUAGCAAUCUUCAGAGAUCGCCGGCUCGCAAUGUCGGAGAGGUAUAUUACCUACUCUGUCUACUGAUCAUGAACAUGCAUGUAGUAAGUUGUCUUGUCGGUGGUUCGGUAAUAAAAGUAACAGGGAAAAAAAUCGCAAUUUGGCUAGGAAAAAAGUCACAGGAAAAAUAGUCACAUUGAUUUAUGGUGGCCGGUAAUAAGGUCACGUGAAAAAUUCAUAUGUCUUGAGGGCCAUUAUCUGUAUGAUAUAUAUAGUCUUUUGUUUGUUUACACGGAACGGAAGUCGCCAACGGUCUUGUACUAAACACGCUGCAAUGGUGGAUACAUCCCGGUUUUU